rnacentral:rRNA from 1 species
AUGCAUUGGUAUUCUUGGUGGAAGCUAUGUUUCCCAAAGAGUGAAGGUGGGAUGGGAUUUCGAGAUCUAUAUUCGUUUAAUCUUGCUCUCUUAGCGAAACAAUGCUGGAGAUUGAUAACGAACCCGGACUCGCUUUGUGCUAGGAUUUUAAAGGCAAAGUAUUACCCAAAUUGUGAUAUUCUCCUAGCAGGGCCGAAAAAGGGAUCUUCCUUCACUUGGCAGAGUAUCAUUGCUGGGUUAGCUUGCUUUAAGCGUGGAUACAUAUGGAGAAUAGGAACGGGAGAAAAUGUUGACAUCUGGGCUGACCCGUGGAUACCUUCAAGCCCAAACAGGAUGAUUAUUACUCCGCGGAAUCAGUCUAUUUUAACAAAGGUUUCUGAACUAGUUAAUCCUAUUACCCAAACGUGGGAUGAGCAAUUACUUCAAGACCAUUUUAACCCUGUGGAUGUUCGAAGGAUCUUGCAAAUACCCUUACACCUUCAAGCAUUUGAUGAUCUUAUCGCCUGGCAUCCGAAUAAAAACGGAAUCUUUUCUGUGAAAACUGCAUAUCAUAUUGAGUGGAUACACAAAUAUGGGGGCCAUGCAACUUCCCGGGGUAGACCGGGAAGCUCUACGACUCCGGCAGUGUGGUCUAUGCUAUGGAAUCUUCAAGUCCCACGUAAAGUUCAAAUAUAUUGCUGGAGAAUUCUGCACGGAAUUGUACAAUUAAUGUCUGUACUCGCUAACAGACACAUCCCGGUGAGUGGAGAAUGCCCAAUUUGUCACGUUGGACCAGAGGAUGUGCGCCAUCUGCUUUUUGAAUGCAUUCCAGCGAGAGAAUUGUGGGAGAAAUUAGGCAUUUGGGACUCUAUC